rnacentral:rRNA from 1 species
CCUGACUGCUAUCGGAUUGAUACUAAGCCAUGCGAGUUUUUGUAGCAAUACAAGGCAGACGGCUCAGUAACACGUAGUCAAUCUAACCUAUGGACGAGGAUAACCUCGGGAAACUGAGAAUAAUACUCGAUAGAUCAUUAUGCCUGGAACGGUUUAUGGUUCAAAUGAAUUUCGCCAUAGGAUGGGACUGCGGUCUAUCAGCUUGUUGGUGAGGUAAUGGCCCACCAAGGCUAUUACAGAUACGGGCUCUGAGAGGAGAAGCCCGGAGAUGGGUACUGAGACACGGACCCAGGCCCUAUGGGGCGCAGCAGGCGAGAAAACUUUGCAAUGUGCGAAAGCACGACAAGGUUAAUCCGAGUGAUUCCUGCUAAAGGAAUCUUUUGUUAGUCAUAAUACCACUAAUGAAUAAGGGGUGGGCAAGUUCUGGUGUCAGCCGCCGCGGUAAAACCAGCACCUCAAGUGGUCAGGAUGAUUAUUGGGCCUAAAGCAUCCGUAGCCGGCUCUGUUAGUUUUCGGUUAAAUCUAUAUGCUCAACAUAUAGGCUGCCGGGAAUACUACAAAGCUAGGAAGUGGGAGAGGUAGACGGUACUCCGUAGGAAGGGGUAAAAUCCUUUGAUCUAUGGAUGACCACCAGUGGCGAAGGCGGUCUACCAGAACAUGUUCGACGGUGAGGGAUGAAAGCUGGGGGAGCAAACCGGAUUAGAUACCCGGGUAGUCCCAGCUGUAAACUAUGCAAACUCAGUGAUGCAUUGGCUUGUGGCCAGUGCAGUGCCGCAGAGAAGUCGUUAAGUUUGCCGCCUGGGAAGUACGUACGCAAGUAUGAAACUUAAAGGAAUUGGCGGGGGAGCACCACAAGGGGUGAAGCCUGCGGUUC